rnacentral:lncRNA from 1 species
GCAGCAGAGAAUUAUAGGUUUCUAUUGCAAUGGGUCUAAUCUGAGAUAAAUUUCACACUGUUCUUAGCAAGGCAAUGUGCACUCCACAGUUCAGGAUUUUGUGCUGUAGUUUUUUUGUAUCAGUUUUUCUUCAAGAUGACUGUAUGACUAGAUCCUUUGUUGUUGUCUGGUUGUUUUUAAGUUUUUUUCUUUUUCUCAUGCUUAUUCCUAGAUUCAGAAAUGUUAAGAGAAGAAUACCUACAGUCUUCAAAUCUGAGCUCCUCUGUAUGCGGACCAUGGGCAGAACCAGUGAAAAUGUUCGUGAGAGCUAGACGAAGGCUAAGACCUUACCAAAGCAAGAAGCCACUCAAAGCUCUUACUAAAAAACAAAGUGACAGCCCCCCCAGCCCCCCGAAAAAUAAAAAUAAAAUAAAAUACAAAUUUAA